UUGCGAGCCGCUGAGGAGGUUGCAGGUGGCGGCUUAAAUAGCCAGCGCAUAGUGGGAAUGAGGUUGCAGCCUUGAAGGAUUCCGGGAAGCCGUCCUCGUUUUCCCUUUUCAUUAGGGAGUGGAAAGAUUCCAGUGGUCCUCGGGAAGAUGUCCGCUUGCGUACCCCGGGAAGCUCAAUAUGGUGAUACCUCAAGUCACAACAGCUCGUCGCCGCCCCGGGAUGACCUCGGACGCACAAGCAGUCCAACACUGGUAGACGGACGAGGUGGUACUUUUCAGUCGGCCAGUAGACACACCGCAAAGUCCCCUGAUCAAAGCGUUGACGCAAUCUCCUCAAUAAGUGAAAUGUCAGGGAGAAGACAUGAUGACGGAGGUGAGAAGACCGGAACUCUUCUUCAAUAGCAGAGCGUAGAUUCAAGACUUCCAGUGGCUGGCCGGGUCUGGCUAUCUCGUGUAGGACCCUCGAAGAUGAAAGCAACCUCUUGUUUCCUCCCAUGUGAAUGGCUCAAGCUUCAAAAGGCACCUGGCCACGGGGCUGAGAGUUUUCUGGAAGAACGCUGCGACCGGCGAAACAACAGAACAAAAAUCCACAGUCCAGGUUCCCCAGAAUUUUUCGUCGGGCAACAUCCCUUCCGGUAGGAGAACAC